rnacentral:rRNA from 1 species
GCAAAGUUUUUUCGGUGCAAGAUGAGCUCGCGGCCUAUCAGCUUGUUGGUGGGGUAAUGGCCUACCAAGGCGUCGACGGGCAGCCGGCCUGAGAGGGUGUACGGCCACAUUGGGACUGAGAUACGGCCCAGACUCCUACGGGAGGCAGCAGUGGGGAAUAUUGCACAAUGGGCGGAAGCCUGAUGCAGCGACGCCGCGUGGGGGCAUGAAGGCCUUCGGGUUGUAAACUCCUUUCGACAGGGACGAAGCGUAAGUGACGGUACCUGUAUAAGAAGCACCGGCUAACUACGUGCCAGCANCCCGGUAAUACGUAGGGUGCGAGCGUUGUCCGGAAUUACUGGGCGUAAAGAGCUCGUAGUGCUUUUCGCGUCGUCUGUGAAAUUCCGGGGCUUAACUCCGGGCGUGCAGGCGAUACCGGCUGACUUGAGUGCUGUAGGGGAGACUGGAAUUCCUGGUGUAGCGGUGAAAUGCGCAGAUAUCAGGAGGAACACCGAUGGCGAAGGCAGGUCUCUGGGCAGUAACUGACGCUGAGGAGCGAAAGCAUGGGUAGCGAACAGGAUUAGAUACCCUGGUAGUCCGAUGCCCCUCCCGGUGGGCGCUAGUGUAGGGGGCUUCCACGUCUUCUGUCCGGUAGCUA